UACGAAGGGGGCAGGCGUUGUUCGGAAUUACUGGGCGUAAAGGGCGCGUAGGCGGCCCGCUAAGUCGAACGUGAAAUCCCCGAGCUCAACUCGGGAACUGCGUCCGAUACUGGCGGGCUUGAAUCCGGGAGAGGGAUGCGGAAUUCCAGGUGUAGCGGUGAAAUGCGUAGAUAUCUGGAGGAACACCUAUUGCGAAGGCAGCUCGCUGGGACGUAACUGACGCUGAGACGCGAAAGCGUGGGGAGCAAACAGG
rnacentral:rRNA from 1 species